rnacentral:rRNA from 1 species
GAUGAACGCUGGCGGCGUGCCCAACACAUGCAAGUCGAGCGAUUUACUUCGGUAAAGAGCGGCGGACGGGUGAGUAACGCGUGGGUAACCUGCCCUGUACACACGGAUAACAUACCGAAAGGUAUGCUAAUACGAGAUAAUAUGCUUUUAUCGCAUGGUAGAAGUAUCAAAGUUUUUGCGGUACAGGAUGGACCCGCGUCUGAUUAGCUAGUUGGUAAGGUAACGGCUUACCAAGGCGACGAUCAGUAGCCGACCUGAGAGGGUGAUCGGCCACAUUGGAACUGAGACACGGUCCAAACUCCUACGGGAGGCAGCAGUGGGGAAUAUUGCACAAUGGGCGAAAGCCUGAUGCAGCAACGCCGCGUGAGCGAUGAAGGCCUUCGGGUCGUAAAGCUCUGUCCUCAAGGAAGAUAAUGACGGUACUUGAGGAGGAAGCCCCGGCUAACUACGUGCCAGCCGCCGCGGUAACAC